GAUGAACGCUAGCGGCGGGCCUAAUACAUGCAAGUUGAACGAGAUUGUUGGUAGCAAUACUGACAUGAAAGUGGCGCACGGGUGCGCAACACGUAUGUAACCUACCUUUAACUGGGGCAUAGCUUCGAGAAAUCGAAAUUAAUACCCCAUAACAUUUAGAAAAGGCAUCUUUUCUUUAUCAAAGUUCCGGCGGUUAAAGAUGGACAUGCGGUGCAUUAGCUUGUUGGUGAGGUAACGGCUCACCAAGGCUACGAUGCAUAGGGGGUCUGAGAGGAUGAUCCCCCANACUGGUACUGAGACACGGACCAGACUCCUACGGGAGGCAGCAGUAGGGAAUAUUGGGCAAUGGACGAAAGUCUGACCCAGCCACGCCGCGUGAAGGAUGACUGCCCCUAUGGGUUGUAAACUUCUUUUGUAUGGGAAGAAAAUUCCGAACGUGUUCGGAGCUGACGGUACCAUAAGAAUAAGCAUCGGCUAACUCCGUGCCAGCAGCCGCGGUAAAGUAG
rnacentral:rRNA from 1 species